UAGGGAAUUUUCGGCAAUGGGGGAAACCCUGACCGAGCAACGCCGCGUGAAGGAAGAAGGUUUUCGGAUUGUAAACUUCUGUUAUAAAGGAAGAACGGCGGCUACAGGAAAUGGUAGCCGAGUGACGGUACUUUAUUAGAAAGCCACGGCUAACUACGUGCCAGCAGCCGCGGUAAUACGUAGGUGGCAAGCGUUAUCCGGAAUUAUUGGGCGUAAAGAGGGAGCAGGCGGCAGCAAGGGUCUGUGGUGAAAGCCUGAAGCUUAACUUCAGUAAGCCAUAGAAACCAGGCAGCUAGAGUGCAGGAGAGGAUCGUGGAAUUCCAUGUGUAGCGGUGAAAUGCGUAGAUAUAUGGAGGAACACCAGUGGCGAAGGCGACGAUCUGGCCUGCAACUGACGCUC
rnacentral:rRNA from 1 species